CUCCAGACUCCUACGGGAGGCAGCAGUGGGGGAUAUUGCACAAUGGGGGAAACCCUGAUGCAGCGACGCCGCGUGGGUGAAGAAGCGCCUCGGCGCGUAAAGCCCUUUCAGCAGGGAAGAAAAUGACGGUACCUGAAGAAGAAGCCCCAGCUAACUACGUGCCAGCAGCCGCGGUAAUACGUAGGGGGCAAGCGUUAUCCGGAUUUACUGGGUGUAAAGGGGGCGCAGACGGCGAUGCAAGCCAGGAGUGAAAUCCCGGGGCCCAACCCCGGGACUGCUCUUGGAACUGCGUGGCUGGAGUGCAGGAGGGGCAGGCGGAAUUCCUGGUGUAGCGGUGAAAUGCGUAGAUAUCAGGAGGAACACCGGUGGCGAAGGCGGCCUGCUGGACUGCAACUGACGUUGAGGCCCGAAAGCGUGGGGAGCAAACAGGAUUAGAUACCCGAGCAC
rnacentral:rRNA from 1 species